AAACCAACAGGGAUUGCCUUAGUAGCGGCGAGUGAAGCGGCAAAAGCUCAAAUUUGAAAUCUGGCACUUUCAGUGUCCGAGUUGUAAUUUGAAGAAGGUAUCUUUGGGUCUGGCUCUUGUCUAUGUUUCUUGGAACAGAACGUCACAGAGGGUGAGAAUCCCGUGCGAUGAGAUGUCCCAGACCUAUGUAAAGUUCCUUCGAAGAGUCGAGUUGUUUGGGAAUGCAGCUCUAAGUGGGUGGUAAAUUCCAUCUAAAGCUAAAUAUUGGCGAGAGACCGAUAGCGAACAAGUACAGUGAUGGAAAGAUGAAAAGAACUUUGAAAAGAGAGUGAAAAAGUACGUGAAAUUGUUGAAAGGGAAGGGCUUGAGAUCAGACUUGGUAUUUUGUAUGUUACUCUCUCGGGGGUGGCCUCUACAGUUUACCGGGCCAGCAUCAGUUUGAGCGGUAGGAUAAGUGCAAAGAAAUGUGGCACUGCUUCGGUAGUGUGUUAUAGUCUUUGUCGAUACUGCCAGCUUAGACUGAGGACUGCGGCUUCGGCCUAGGAUGUUGGCAUAAUGAUCUUAAGUC
rnacentral:rRNA from 1 species